GGGUGUGGGGUGGAGAGGGAGGGGGGGGGGUGGAUGUAAAAUCACGCGGUAGAUGGAAUAGCGAAGCAAAGCAAACAAGGAUAACGAUACUUCCGGGUGGCAACAAAGAAUCCUAAACUCGGAGCCGGCAAAAAUUAAGAGCACGGAGCAUUUGCAAGCGGAGGACCCACGUGUGCGGAAGGAUUUCAGUUGAAGCGAGGGCUCUUGGAAGGAAAAUGCAUGCUGCUGAGGAAGAAGCGAAAGGAGGAAAUAAAGCGAAACGUAAGCAAAUUACACCGAGGAAAGGAUACGGUUACGGAAACAAUCAUUGAGCAACCAAACAGCGCCUCUAAACCCGACCUAAGGCCCGUAGAAAAUGGUGUAGGAAAAUAGCGAAAGGAUAUGCAAGCUGCAUUCCUGAAUGCGCGUGUAUGUGCGCGGGGGUGUAUGUGAGAAUACUGUACGUGGGCAACACAACAGACCCCAAUCAACUAGCCACAACACACACACACGCGCACGCAGGAAGGAUUUCGAAUGUUGCGUCCUCGAAAGAGGGGGGUUUGCGUUUUGAUUGGUGCGGUAGUAUUGGUUGCCCUCCAUUGCAAACCACAAAUGGAGCGAAACAUACAAAACAAAAUCCCAGCAAAAAGGCAACAACCACAUCCAGCCGCCACCCUUCCGGAAACUUAACGAUAAUUAAAUAGAGCAUUAUUAUUGCAUUAAUCAAAGGGUUGAUACAGCGUACUCUGUUAGCGAAUGUAAUGGAUUAAAAGAACAAAAAAAAAACAAAGGAAAAACCAACAAAUAUUAAUGAGUCUAAAAGGCCUUCUAAA